rnacentral:ribozyme from 2 species
ACCUAAAUUAAGGCCAGGAAAAUAGUACAACAGAGUUAACAAGCUAUGUGCUUUCCUAAAACAAGAUUCAUAUAACCUAUGCCUAGAGAUAGAGCUGGGUUUUGAGUCUGAAAACUCUGCCAACAGCAGCUAA